UGAAUCUCCUUGACUCCAGGCCCUGCACUCGAUCUACUGUGCCACCUAGUCACCCUAUGAAGUAAUUACAAGAUCUAAAAAAAUUCAAGGAAGAAAGAAGAGACCCAAAGAACUGAGACAUAGAAAAG
rnacentral:lncRNA from 1 species